CUGUUCAAGUAAUUAUUACACCAACCAAGGUAAUUACAGCCUUCAAAUUUUUGAAAGAGUAUCCAGGAUUCCUGAAAGGUCUUCACAACAUUGAAUUGUCAGAUUUAUGUAAGGAAAUAUGAAAUAAGAGGAUGUGGUAUGAUUGCCAAAGAGACAUCUCUCCACUAAAGACCCUAACAUUUACAGGGUUUGUGUAGUGUUGUGUUUUGUGGACUUUUUUGUCUGUCUGUUGUUUUCAUUUUUUUGCCAUCACAUUGUUAGUUUCUUUCAUCUAAUGACUUAUGAAUGGCCCCUUGAGUUGUCACCCAUCUUUUUUUUUGUUGGUUAUAUACAUGUAUACAAUUCUUUACAUAUGUAUUUGUUAUCUGAUUUACUUGUCCAUUUUUUUUAUACUGACAAUUUAAAAACAAUCUAUUUGGGACAGAAGAAUAUGAGAGAUACACACAUUCAAGCAAGAAAAAUAUUACAAAUAAAAAACAAGAAGAAUUAC
rnacentral:lncRNA from 1 species